GAUGAAGAACGUAGCGAAAUGCGAUAAGUAAUGUGAAUUGCAGAAUUCAGUGAAUCAUCGAAUCUUUGAACGCACAUUGCGCCCCCUGGUAUUCCGGGGGGCAUGCCUGUCCGAGCGUCAUUACAACCCUCAAGCUCAGCUUGGUGUUGGGCCCCGCCGCCCCGGCGGGCCCUAAAGUCAGUGGCGGUGCCGUCCGGCUCCGAGCGUAGUAAUUCUUCUCGCUCUGGAGGUCCGGUCGUGUGCCCGCCAGCAACCCCCAAUUUUUUUCAGGUUGACCUCGGAUCAGGUAGGGAUACCCGCUGAACUUAAGCAUAUCAAUAAGCGGAGGA
rnacentral:misc_RNA from 1 species